UGGGACUACAGGCGCUCGCCGUCACGCCCGGCUAAUUUUUUUGUGUUUUUAGUAGAGACAGGGUUUCACCGUGUUAGCCAGGAUGGUCUCCAUCUUCUGACCUCGUGAUCCGCCCGCCUCGGCCUCCCAAAGUGCUGGGAUUUCAGACAUGAGCCACCGUGCCCGGCCCGACUUUCUUAAUAUUAACUAGAUCUUACUCUGUCAUCCAGGCUGGAGUACAGUGAUGCAAUCACAGCUCAUUGAAGCCCGAGUUCCUCUUGAACUCCUGGACUCAAGCGAUCCACUCACCUCAACCUCUCAAAGUGCUGGGAUUAUAGGUGUUGGCCACUGCACUAGGCCUAAAUGUACUUUUUAAUGCUUAAAAGCAAACUGCAAGCUUCCUGCCAGACUGACCUAUUAUGGCCAGUUAGGGAGAAAGUCAAGGUUUAAGCUGUGUUAAAAUUUUCCCUUUCAAUACUGUGAUGAUCAUCCAUGUAAUGUAUCUAUUUGCUCACAUAUGGUCUUCAUCUUAAAGUCCAGAAACUUGAAGUUUCAUAAACUCAAUUCCUUCAUCUAAAGUACAUACCAUUACUAGUUUUAUUGUUUAAUAUCAAAAUACCCUGAAGAGGAAGUAUAUCCCCCUGGUAGUAGAAUGUAAACUCUACAAGUAUAAGACUUUUUGGUCUGCUUUUGCUCUUUUUCUUUAGUGAAUGGUCAAUUUAUAAAUUUCACCGUUAUGUAUUCAUGAAAGUACAUCAUACACUUGUUGAUUUGUAUUUUUUUAAUUUGAAAAGCAAAGAUUUGUAAAGUAUUUUGCAAAUAUGUUCACAGUUAGCACUUUGUAUAUGACUAUUUUUCAUUUUGGAUUUCUAUGUUCACACAUACUUUCUGGUUUCUUCCUUAGAUGUCAUGUUUAGGUUAUUACCCUAAUCAUAUAACCACAUAUAAAAAAGUACUUUGUUAUUUUUGUAAUUUGUAAUCAGAAUAUUUGAUAUUUUUUGAAUUUAUAAUUAUAUGUAAGAUGAACCACAGACCUACCAUUUUCUUCCAAAUGAUCAGCUAGGAUUUCCAUCAUAUUUUGUUGGUUCUCCACUAACUUAAAAUGCCAUUUUGCAGAAUAAGUAUAUUUUAUUGGAUCUCCACUAUUAUGAAAUGUCAUUUUAAAAAUAGAUUAUGAUUUCUAUAGAAUAGAACUGUUUCCAUUCUUUCUGUCUGUUCUUAACCAAUAUUGCUUUAUUUGAUGUAUUGUAAGCCGUUCCCACUCAACCUAAAAUGAGUGUUAAAAUGUCAAUCACAUCUGUGUUUGUUACAAUAGUACUUAAUGGGGUGGUAGAGAGGUUAAAAUCCAUUUUUUCCAUAUCCAGCACUUUAAUGCUUAUGUACAUUUUGUUAAUUAAAAAAAAAACCUUAUAACACAUUUCUCAUAUUAAGUUGGUACAAGACUUCUUGUAAACUUGAGAGAAGAUAGUGACCUUGUCCCUCAGGAGAUUAAGUAGAAUUAUAGUAGACCCAGAAUAAAUGAGAUAUAUGAUUUCCCUGGUCUAAGCAAAAACAAUGCUCUGUCUUCAUACUACUUCCAGAUUAACUAUCUAUUUAGAAGGGCAUGUCAAAAAUACAAUUAAAGUGAAUGUAUUUUAUUGAAGUGUUUUCUUCUUUCUAUGUCUUUGAUUAUAUGUAAUGGUUGAUGCAGUGUUCCUAAGAGAUCAAAUGUGGGCUCACCAUAAAGCAAAAAAAAAAAAUUACCAUGAUUCCCCUUAAUGAAUGAAGCAUUGAGUUUUAACAGUAGACAUCUAGCAUCAAGUUAAAUUUGUUUUAUUAACUUAAUGCCAUGCAAUGGCCUUGAACUGUGGUUUAUAAAGCAGGCUCUGAAAGCUCCUUGCAGUAGAAUUCACUGGAGAACUUGUUAAAAUGUUGAAAUUCUGGAUAUCUCUUCAGAUCACUGCAAUCAUAAGGCUCAAGAAAACUGCAUUAUUAAAAAGUUUUUCAAAUGAAUCCUAUGGAUACUAAUAUUUGGUGUAGGCUAAUCUAGCAAAUAUACAAUUCCACUAUUUUCUAAAGUAAGUCUAUUAUAUUCUUAAUUUUAAACCACCUCUCUGAGGAAAAAAAUACAAAUACUCAGUUAUACAUUUAAUUCAUUUGUUAAAAUAAAUAUAAGGAUCAUUUUAGAUAAUAUAAAAUCCACUAUGCAAAGGAAUUAAAAUACAACCUAAUGAUGAGAGAAGAUAUUUUAUUAAGACAUAAUUUUGCCUAUAGAGCACAAAAAAAGUUAAUACUGACAAGUAAAUUAUGCUUCACUUUUUUUUGUCUACAUUCCAACUCUUGCCACAUUUUCUGUUUUCCCAUCUUGACUUAUAGCAAGAGACGAUAGCAGCUGCAUUCCUCUUGCCUCAGGAGUUAAAACAUAUCAAGCUUUCUGACUGAUGUAAUCAAUUCUAGCUCCUUUUAGAUCUUUGAGCUUUAUAAACAAUCCGUCCUGAAGGGGGAAUUGACAGACCAAGUAAUCUUCAAUAAACUGUCUACCAUGAAGGGCCUUCCACAUAUUUCAUGCUACUGCUUUAAACAAGUGGACAUAAAAAUUACUCUUCUUGCUUCACAAUCCAUCUGCCUUAGCGGGAUUGGCAAGUCCUUACUUUAGAACACAUUUCAAAAACAAAACCAAGCAUGCCUUGUUUCAUUUCCAUGAGAGAAUAUAUUUCCAAGGGCCCUAGUAAAUAAACUUACCUCUUCAUUCCCACUCCCUGCCAUCUCUAUGCCUCUCUUCUGGAAGAACAGCAUGUCCAAGCUGAGGAGGAAUAGAAUGAAAGAGCUCAUGCUCUCCCUAUUUUUGCCUGAAUGACCAUAAUUGUAAAUUCCACUGUAUUUCAGAUGAAAACUAUUAGUCUUCUUCAAAUUAGAAUAGUUUCUCCACUUUCUUUUGUCAUUAAUGACUUGACAUUUUUACAGAACUCAGUUUUUUCAUUUUGUAGAACCACAUCUAUUUGAGUUUGUCUCAUGCCUCUGUUCCAACAAUAUUUUCUUAGAUUCGAAUAAAGUGACGUUAUGAAAUGUUACUCCUAAGAUGAGGUUGCAGAAAAAUAGUGGCUUCUGACUUGGGUCCUUCUCUAAUUUCCUAACUUGCUUUCUAUGCAGACAGCUAGUUAACAUGCUAUCAUCUAAACUAUGGAAAGUCCCAUAUGGCAAGGAACUCACAUUUCCAGGCAAUGGCCAGUGAGAACCUGAGGGAUGCCAACAGCUAUUUGAGUGGACUGGAAGCUGAUCUUCCCCAUGUUGAGCUUUGAUCUAACAAAAGCUUGGGCCAGCAUCUUGAAUGAAACCUUCCAAGACACCCUGAGUCAGUGACACCCAGUUAAGUUGUACUCAGAUUCCUAACCCUCAGAAAAUCUGAAGAGACUAAAAAAUAUUUGUUGUGUCAUGCCUCUAAGUCUUGGGGUAAUUUGCUACAUAGCAUUGCAUAACUACUUCAAAUGCCUUUCUCAUUUUUUUCCCAGAGGUAAGACCUUGAUUUUGAGGACCUGCUGACCAGAAAAAGAUAGUCUGGGCCUCAGGGAACUUAGAGUUAUCACUCUAUCCACUAUUAUAGAUAUUAUAAUGUUAUACUUUUCUUCAUUCAUCCAAGUAGGCUAAGAGGGUGGUUAUCAAACUACAGUACAAAGCUUAGCAGUAUUAGAUAACUAAGUGUCACUACAGAUUCUAUGAAGUUCUGGUCAAUUAUAUCUAAGCUAUAAUACAAUAAUUUAAAUCUAGGUAUUUUUAAAUAUCCUACAAUGUUUCUGGUAUACAGGCAGGUUGGAAGUGCAAUACUGUAUGUUUUAUAUUAUUAAUGUAAUAAAUAUAAUAAUGAAAACAUUACAAUGUACUCUUCCUGGAACAUAACUAUUAUAAAGUCAAAUGCAUUAUAUGAUAGUGUCUUAAUAUAAUUUUUCAUUUAAAACAAAGGCCAUAAAAAGUAAACUCAGUUAGCUUCAAUGUAAUGCCUAAGUUUGUAGCAAAUAUUGCCAGUCUACCA
rnacentral:lncRNA from 10 species